UACACUCCUACGGGAGGCAGCAGUGGGGAAUAUUGGACAAUGGGCGCAAGCCUGAUCCAGCCAUGCCGCGUGAGUGAUGAAGGCCCUAGGGUUGUAAAGCUCUUUCACCGGUGAAGAUAAUGACGGUAACCGGAGAAGAAGCCCCGGCUAACUUCGUGCCAGCAGCCGCGGUAAUACGAAGGGGGCUAGCGUUGUUCGGAUUUACUGGGCGUAAAGCGCACGUAGGCGGACUAUUAAGUCAGGGGUGAAAUCCCGGGGCUCAACCCCGGAACUGCCUUUGAUACUGGUAGUCUUGAGUUCGAGAGAGGUGAGUGGAAUUCCGAGUGUAGAGGUGAAAUUCGUAGAUAUUCGGAGGAACACCAGUGGCGAAGGCGGCUCACUGGCUCGAUACUGACGCUGAGGUGCGAAAGCGUGGGGAGCAAACAGGAUUAGAAACCCCUGUAGUCC
rnacentral:rRNA from 1 species